UACGUAGGGUGCGAGCGUUGCCCGGAUUUACUGGGCGUAAAGGGCGCGUAGGCGGUCGUGACAAGUCACUUGUGAAAUCUCCGGGCUUAACUCGGGACGGUCAAGUGAUACUGUCGGACUAGAGUACAGAAGGGGCAACUGGAAUUCUCGGUGUAGCGGUGAAAUGCGUAGAUAUCGAGAGGAACACCUGCGGCGAAGGCGGGUUGCUGGGCUGAUACUGACGCUGAGGCGCGAAAGCCAGGGGAGCGAACGGG
rnacentral:rRNA from 1 species